rnacentral:rRNA from 1 species
UACAGAGGGGGCAAGCGUUGUUCGGAAUUACUGGGCGUAAAGGGCGCGUAGGCGGCCUGCUAAGUCGAACGUGAAAUCCCCGGGCUCAACCCGGGAACUGCGUCCGAUACUGGCAGGCUUGAAUUCGGGAGAGGGAUGUGGAAUUCCAGGUGUAGCGGUGAAAUGCGUAGAUAUCAGGAGGAACACCGGUGGCGAAGGCGGGUCUCUGGGCAGUAACUGACGCUGAGGAGCGAAAGCGUGGGGAGCGAACAGG